CGCACAUUGCGCCCUUUGGUAUUCCGAAGGGCAUGCCUGUUCGAGCGUCAUUAAUCACUCUCAAGCUUGGCUUGCAACUGGGCUCUAUCGUUCUGCGAUUGGCUCCAAUGGAAAUGGCGAUGUCAUGAAUGACUCCGAAGCAGCGAGCUUAUGCACGCAGAAGAGAAUUCUUGGCCUCUGACCUUUUGUAUCUCCAAAGAUUGACCUCGGAUCAGGUAGGAAUACCCGCUGAACUUAA
rnacentral:misc_RNA from 1 species